AUAGCGUAUAUUAAAGUUGUUGCAGUUAAAAAGCUCGUAGUUGAAUUUUAGGCCUGGUUGGACGGUCUGCCUUAGGGUUUGUACUGUCCUGGCUGGGUCUUACCUUCUGGUAAACUGUCGUGUCGUUUAUUCGGUGCGGCAGGGAACCAGGACUUUUACUUUGAAAAAAUUAGAGUGUUUAAAGCAGGCAUUCGCUUGAAUACAUUAGCAUGGAAUAAUAGAAUAGGACUUUGGUUCUAUUUUGUUGGUUUCUAGGACCGAAGUAAUGAUUAAUAGGGAUAGUUGGGGGCAUUAGUAUUUAAUUGUCAGAGGUGAAAUUCUUGGAUUUAUGAAAGACUAACUUCUG
rnacentral:rRNA from 1 species